rnacentral:rRNA from 1 species
AGGGUGCAACCGUUGCUCGGAAUUAUUGGGCGUAAAGCGCACGUAGGCGGCUUGGCAAGUCGGAUGUGAAAUCCCUCGGCUCAACCAAGGAAGUGCAUCCGAAACUGCCGAGCUUGAGUACUUAAGAGGAUCGCGGAAUUCCCGGUGUAGAGGUGAAAUUCGUAGAUAUCGGGAGGAACACCAGUGGCGAAGGCGGCAUCCUGGACCGACACUGACGCUGAGGAGCGAAAGCCAGGGGAGCAAACGGG